AGAGUUUGAUCCUGGCUCAGAUUGAACGCUGGCGGCAUGCUUUACACAUGCAAGUCGAACGGCAGCGCGGGCUUCGGCCUGGCGGCGAGUGGCGAACGGGUGAGUAAUAUAUCGGAACGUACCCAAGAGUGGGGGAUAACGUAGCGAAAGUUACGCUAAUACCGCAUACGAUCUAAGGAUGAAAGCAGGGGACCGCAAGGCCUUGUGCUCCUGGAGCGGCCGAUAUCUGAUUAGCUAGUUGGUGAGGUAAAGGCUCACCAAGGCAACGAUCAGUAGCUGGUCUGAGAGGACGACCAGCCACACUGGAACUGAGACACGGUCCAGACUCCUACGGGAGGCAGCAGUGGGGAAUUUUGGACAAUGGGGGCAACCCUGAUCCAGCAAUGCCGCGUGAGUGAAGAAGGCCUUCGGGUUGUAAAGCUCUUUUGUCAGGGAAGAAAAGGUCGUGGCUAAUAUCCACGACUGCUGACGGUACCUGAAGAAUAAGCACCGGCUAACUACGUGCCAGCAGCCGCGGUAAUACGUAGGGUGCAAGCGUUAAUCGGAAUUACUGGGCGUAAAGCGUGCGCAGGCGGUUUCGUAAGUCUGUCGUGAAAUCCCCGGGCUUAACCUGGGAAUGGCGAUGGAGACUGCGAGGCUAGAGUUUGGCAGAGGGGGGUAGAAUUCCACGUGUAGCAGUGAAAUGCGUAGAGAUGUGGAGGAACACCGAUGGCGAAGCAGCCCCCUGGGUCAAAACUGACGCUCAUGCACGAAAGCGUGGGGAGCAAACAGGAUUAGAUACCCUGGUAGUCCACGCCCUAAACGAUGUCUACUAGUUGUUGGGUCUUAAUUGACUUAGUAACGCAGCUAACGCGUGAAGUAGACCGCCU
rnacentral:rRNA from 1 species